GGGGAGCAAAAUACAUCCAGGGAAUAUUAUAAACUCUUCUGGUCAAGGUCCCUGUUUUUAUGGCCCACUUGUAUUCAGUGAGGUUAAAGAAGUUCCAGAGAUCACACCCAAGAAAACGAUUAUCCAAAGAUGAUGUAUCUUUGCUCAGAUUUCAUACCACCAUGGAUGAGUGCUGUCUGUAACAGGGAGUAGAAAACUGUUGUGUCUAAGUAGAGAAAGGAUUCUUAGGAUGAGAGACAUGCCUCUGGAGAGAUGCAGAGAAAUGCAGCAGCAGGCAGGGAGGGAGAGAUAGAACUGCAGCACAAGAUAGGCCCUGCCUUGCACCUGUCAUUACUGCCUGUCUGCUCCCAGCAUGCCUGAAUUAACUGUCAUAGGGACAGGACAGCGAUGGCAUGCAACUUUGAGGAGAGGACCUGUUUAUCCUCUGCCUUCUGAUAACUGGCUGGAACUAAAGCAGCAGUAAUUUGAAGGAAAAGAGAAUGUGAAAUGAGUCAUGAGAAGGGAGCAGACUGGAUAACAUUGGUUCUGCUUCCCUCUUCCUGCCCUGCAUGAAGUGUGUGGCCCAGAUUGAGCAAGGGAAGCUGGUAUGGAAGUCCAUUCUCCUCUCCAGAGUAACCUGUCAUCAGCCAGCUUUUUUGUACCAUGUCCUGCACCAUUCCCUCAGCUGAAUCUCUUGGGCAGUGAAAGAAUAUGUACCUGUGCCCCUAUAACAUGGCCUUGGGCAGCGGAAGGGUUUAUACAUCCCAUAUGGAGCUUUAUGACUUCAGUUUGAUACUACGCUGGACCUCAUAAGCAUGCCUCACACAGUGUGUGCACUGUUUCCACUUGGCAUAUGCCUGGUUGGCUUCUCAGAGAGAGCAGUGCACUUCCCUCCUCACCCAGCGGAUGCUGUGCUGCUGCCUUCGGUGCCAUCCUCAAUCCCUGCUCUGAACACGAACCCCACAUUUCCUCAUAGACUUCUCAGAGAUCUGUUGACACUGUCCUAUUCAAGCAGAUGGAAAAAAUGAUGGCUGUGACAGAAAGGACAAGCUUCUUUCAAGUCUUUUUUUUUUUUUCCCAACAAGGUAAGAAUG